UACGUAGGGGGCGAGCGUUGUCCGGAAUCAUUGGGCGUAAAGCGCGUGUAGGCGGCCCGGUAAGUCCGCUGUGAAAGUCCAGGGCUCAACCCUGGGAUGCCGGUGGAUACUGUCGGGCUCGAGUCCGGAAGAGGCGAGUGGAAUGCCUGGUGUAGCGGUGAAAUGCGCAGAUAUCAGGAGGAACACCAAUUGCGAAGGCAGCUCGCUGGGACGUUACUGACGCUGAGACGCGAAAGCGUGGGUAGCAAACAGG
rnacentral:rRNA from 1 species